rnacentral:rRNA from 1 species
AACAGGAUUAGAUACCCUGGUAGUCCACGCCGUAAACGAUGUCGACUUGGAGGUUGUGCCCUUGAGGCGUGGCUUCCGGAGCUAACGCGUUAAGUCGACCGCCUGGGGAGUACGGCCGCAAGGUUAAAACUCAAAUGAAUUGACGGGGGCCCGCACAAGCGGUGGAGCAUGUGGUUUAAUUCGAUGCAACGCGAAGAACCUUACCUACUCUUGACAUCCAGAGAACUUAGCAGAGAUGCUUUGGUGCCUUCGGGAACUCUGAGACAGGUGCUGCAUGGCUGUCGUCAGCUCGUGUUGUGAAAUGUUGGGUUAAGUCCCGCAACGAGCGCAACCCUUAUCCUUUGUUGCCAGCGAUUCGGUCGGGAACUCAAAGGAGUCUGCCAGUGAUAAACUGGAGGAAGGUGGGGAUGACGUCAAGUCAUCAUGGCCCUUACGAGUAGGGCUACACACGUGCUACAAUGGCAUAUACAAAGAGAAGCGACCUCGCGAGAGCAAGCGGACCUCAUAAAGUAUGUCGUAGUCCGGAUUGGAGUCUGCAACUCGACUCCAUGAAGUCGGAAUCGCUAGUAAUCGUGGAUCAGAAUGCCACGGUGAAUACGUUCCCGGGCCUUGUACACACCGCCCGUCACACCAUGGGAGUGGGUUGCAAAAGAAGUAGGCAGCUUAACCUUCGGGAGGGCGCUUACCACUUUGUGAUUCAUGACUGGGGUGAAGUCGUAACAAGGUAACC